rnacentral:lncRNA from 1 species
GGGAUCCCAGUUCCAGCCUUGUUUCAAUAAGUCCCCUUUAUUGUAUAGACACAGCAAGAGGGCUUUGAGCCAGCCCAUUCAGCCUGGGCUUCCCAUAGGAUUACAUAUCUAAAUAUAUGGAAGUAAAAGUGGCCCGAGCAGCCACCAGGGCCACUGUGUCUGAGUCUGAGUGUCCUGGUCGCAGAGAGCCCAGCUGAGAGGUCAGGCGUCGAGCGAGUAGGUGCCAUGGUGUGGGAUACCGUCAUGUCUGCCUGGUGAGGUGAGGGAGGGAGACGGGAGAGGAAAUGGAAUGGAAAAUGGCCCUGGCUGUUUGCACCAUGUGGAGAGGACACCUAGCCAGUCUCCAUAUCCUCAGGGCUACUGGGGUCAAGACAUUAAAGCUAGGGGUGAGAUAGCUGUCCCUCUCUGACUGGAGCUCUUUGAUGACGUGAGGGAAGCCUUUGUGUGUGUAAUAGCCAGGAGGACCCGGAUAAAGAGGCCCUUUCUGCCCACUAAAAGCCUUUGUUGUCUGGGCUAAGUGGAGAUGGAGGGGUGGAGGGUUAAGGUGUCCGCGUGCUGCGAAUCCGGAACAGUUCGUGCACAUAAUAUGGAGACAUUUUGUCUCGUUAUAGUCUUCGGCAAGGUUUUUUUUUUACUGUUUGUGCAUACAAUAUUUUUUCUCGAGGCAAGCCGAAAUUCAGUUGCCGAAGUCUAUGCCCCUUCGGCGGUGUUUGGUCAACUGUAGGGGCUAAGAUUCAGCCCGAAACCCAUUGUGGAUUCAAAAUGGCGAAUGACAACAACUACAAUAGUUGGUGGGGGUUCUUGCAGGAACCUAACUGCCCAACUGAUUCACUUGGAUUUGAAUUUGAAAGGACUGCAGAAAAUGGACCCAAUUUAAUGGAUAUCAAUCAACAAAGAGGUAUACAGACGAGGAGGCAUAGAAAGGUAUUGGUAUGUUAUGCAGAUCACAUUUACCAUCCUCCUCCCUUACCUCUUCAAUAAAAAUCACAUAGGCCUCUACAUUAUGGACAAGGUAUGUGUAUGAAAACCAAUUUCAAAAGUGUUUUUCACAUUUACCACAAAAACCAAGGUAUGAAUACUGUCGUGUGCAUGUUUUGUUAAUCAUCUGUAUAAUUACUAUUUUUGAAUUCACAGACUUCACCCUCCCUACACCUCUGAUUAAUAUAACAGGAAACCUGUUUGAUCACCAUGUACUGCAAAAUCAUUCUGGCUAUGGAUACGGAGAACAUCAACACAUUAACAUCAACACGUCAGAGGAUAAACCGAUUGGACUUGGGGCUCUGCUGGGAGUUUACCUCAUACUUAGAUUUUCUAUUCUGCUUUGCCACUAAAAUCAUAAUAAACACUGACAACUAAAAUAUUGUGUUACUGUUGUUAUGUAUAUUAUUAAUAAUAAUAUUAAUAGGGGAAGGAGGGUAGUUCAAAAAUGUACCCCAAAAGGUUCUUCAAAAGGUUCUUCAAGGGUCCAUUUAAAGGGGUUAUUUGAAGAACUUAUGGGGGUUCCCCCACAGUUUCAAUUUGAAGAAGCCCUAAAGUAUCCUGCAGGAACCUUUACUUUUUAGAGUGUACGAUUCUAGCAUGUAAAGGCCAGUUCACUGCUCUCCACAGACUCUUCUCUAAUCCCCCUCCCCCCUCAUCCUUUCCACAAGGCCCUGACACCUAUAGCUGAUUUCAUGGAUUACCUAUCGCCAAAACUAUCACCAGCUGCAUGAGUU